UACGUAGGGUGCGAGCGUUGUCCGGAAUUAUUGGGCGUAAAGAGCGCGCAGGCGGCUUGGUAAGUCGGAUGUGAAAUCCCGAGGCUCAACCUCGGGUCUGCAUCCGAUACUGCCCGGCUAGAGGUAGGUAGGGGAGAUCGGAAUUCCUGGUGUAGCGGUGAAAUGCGCAGAUAUCAGGAGGAACGCCGGUGGCGAAGGCGGAUCUCUGGGCCUUACCUGACGCUCAGGCGCGAAAGCUAGGGGAGCGAACUGG
rnacentral:rRNA from 1 species